ACUAACCAGGAUUUCCCUAGUAACGGCGAGCGAACCGGAAAGAGCCCAGCUUGAAAAUCGGGGCCCUUCGGGCCCCGAAUUGUAGUCUGGAGACGCAUCCUCUGCAACGCACCGGACCCAAGUUCCCUGGAAAGGGACGUCAGAGAGGGUGACAACCCCGUCGAGUCUGGACCGUGCUGCUCCACGAGGUGUGGUCGCCGAGUCGGGCUGUUUGGGAAUGCAGCCCUAAGCGGGUGGUAAAUUCCAUCCAAGGCUAAAUAUUGGCAGGAGACCGAUAGCGAACAAGUACCGCGAGGGAAAGAUGAAAAGGACUUUGAAAAGAGAGUUAAAAAGUGCUUGAAAUUGCUGGGAGGGAAGCGAAUGGAAGCUGCGGGUGUGCCCCGGUUGGAUGUGGAACGGCUCGCGCUGGUCCGCCGCUCAACGCGGGGCACUGGUCAGCGUGGGCCAUCGCGGCGGGACAAGAGCGGGGUGUAGUUCCCCGCCUAUGCCGUUGCGGUGGCCGAGGAACGAAGCGCGCGGGGCUCCUGCCCCGUGGGGUUCUCCCCAACUGCGCGCUCGGGACGCUGGCGUAUUGAGCUCUUCAUCCGACCCGUCUUGAAACACGGACCAAGGAGUCUAACAUGUAUGCGAGCCGGUGGGCGGCAAACCCAUUGAGGCGCAAGGAAACUGACAGGUGGGACCCCUCCAUCACAAGGGAGCACCAUCGACCGAC
rnacentral:rRNA from 1 species